rnacentral:misc_RNA from 1 species
AGACGAGGAAAAAGAGAAGACGACGUGGAGAAAGUGCAAGUGGAUAACAGAAAAUCAAACGUUUCCUUCAAUGGCGUCUUCUCUAUUUACUUCGUCUCCAAAAUUUCAGGUGUGCUUCGCCUCUCUUAUGGUGGAUUCUUUGUCGGUUUCAACUAAUUCGCGCUGUCACUUCUUGUUAGCUCAGCUAAUCCGUAGUCACCUUGCUGCUUGGGGUAUUGGCGUAUAGAAAUCAAUUUAGGUCAUGGCUUUAUGGUUAGAUUCUAAACUGCAUAGUAAAAAUUGUAACAUAAAAUGGUUGAUUGGUGGUUAGCGGAGAAGUAGGUUCAUAUAUUAUUCUAUAAUUUAGAAUGCUAGUCCUCCAAGGCAUUGUGAAUUAGUUUUUAAUGGUUGUAUAAUCACUUUUUGAGCUAUUAGGUUAUGUUUUACAGGUGGUUUUUGUUGUUUUGUUGUUCUUGUACUCUUUUUUUUUUGGUUGAAUUUUAG